rnacentral:rRNA from 1 species
GACGAACGCUGGCGGCGUGCUUAACACAUGCAAGUCGAACGGAAAGGCCCUGCUUUUGUGGGGUGCUCGAGUGGCGAACGGGUGAGUAACACGUGAGUAACCUGCCCUUGACUUUGGGAUAACUUCAGGAAACUGGGGCUAAUACCGGAUAGGGGCUCCUGCUGCAUGGUGGGGGUUGGAAAGUUUCGGCGGUUGGGGAUGGACUCGCGGCUUAUCAGCUUGUUGGUGGGGUAGUGGCUUACCAAGGCUUUGACGGGUAGCCGGCCUGAGAGGGUGACCGGCCACAUUGGGACUGAGAUACGGCCCAGACUCCUACGGGAGGCAGCAGUGGGGAAUAUUGCACAAUGGGCGGAAGCCUGAUGCAGCAACGCCGCGUGCGGGAUGACGGCCUUCGGGUUGUAAACCGCUUUCGCCUGUGACGAAGCGUGAGUGACGGUAAUGGGUAAAGAAGCACCGGCUAACUACGUGC